rnacentral:rRNA from 1 species
UACAGAGGCCCCAAGCGUUAGGCGGAAUCACUGGGCUUAAAGCGUGUGUAGGCGGACUUCUAAGUACCCUGUGAAAUCCCACGGCUUAACCGUGGAACUGCUUGGUAUACUGGUCGUCUUGAGCCACUUAGGGGUUACCGGAACAAAUGGUGGAGCGGUGAAGUGCGCAGAUAUCAGGAGGAACACCAAUUGCGAAGGCAGCUCGCUGGGACGUUACUGACGCUGAGACGCGAAAGCGUGGGGAGCAAACAGG